rnacentral:rRNA from 1 species
GAUGAACGCUGGCGGCGUGCCUAAUACAUGCAAGUCGAGCGAACGGACGAGAAGCUUGCUUCUCUGAUGUUGGCGGCGGACGGGUGAGUAACACGUGGAUAACCUACCUAUAAGACUGGGAUAACUUCGGGAAACCGGAGCUAAUACCGGAUAAUAUUUUGAACCGCAUGGUUCAAAAGUGAAAGACGGUCUUGCUGUCACUUGUAGAUGGAUCCGCGCUGCAUUAGCUAGUUGGUAAGGUAACGGCUUACCAAGGCAACGAUGCAUAGCCGACCUGAGAGGGGGAUCGGCCACCCUGAAACGGAGACACGGCCCAGACCCCUAGGGAAGGCGGCGGUGGGGAAUUUUCGCAAUGGGCGAAAGCCUGACGGAGCAACGCCGCGUGAGUGAUGAAGGUCUUCGGAUCGUAAAACUCUGUUAUUAGGGAAGAACAUAUGUGUAAGUAACUGUGCACAUCUUGACGGUACCUAAUCAAAAAGCCACGGCUAACUACGUG